rnacentral:rRNA from 1 species
AUGUCCAUCGUGUCGCAUCGCAUGGUGAAGAAGGGCGACACGGCGAUGCCGGCACAUGCAUGGGAUGGGAGGGCUAGGACGUGCUACGCUGCCGUUACCCUGACGGGGCAUCUGGUCUGGGAAUUAAGAAGCAGCUGCUCAAGGAGACUGCAUGCAGUUGAGGCACCAACCAGCGGCUUGCUUGAUUCAUCAUCCAUGGCGUCAUGGUGGGAUCUCCCCGGAGAGCUUCUACGCAUCAUCAUCGCUGGCCUCCCUGACCCGAUUAACCACGCUCGCUUCCAAGCAGUCUGCUGUUCCUGGCGGUCUGUCCCGUCUCCGCGCAAGCUACCUAGGGUCCUGCUCCCAGCAGGAUCCCUGUUGCUCCCCUUCGAGAUUGAGAGCGCCCCCCACACAAUAUUAGUGUUACCCCUCCCACAAAACCAGCGCUUCAUUGGCUCCACCCACUGUUUUCUCGCCAUCGACGUCACCGAUGCUCACAACAGCAGGCAUACAUACGUGCUCACUAAUCCUUUCUCAAGGACCAUGCUGGAGCUCCCGGAGCUUGAUCCUGUCAUCGGCAAUGUUCCCGAAACCUUUGGGAUCCACAAGGUGCUCAUGCACUCUGGCCUCCAUGGUCUCGUCGUCAUAAGGACCAACAACCGCAGUCAUCCCAUCAUCUUGCUAAACCCAGGCAAGGGUGUGUGGUUACCCAAGCCACGACAUCAACCUUUCACCUGUAUCAUCGACGACGCGUUUCUUGGAGACACGCUCUAUGCCAUCACACAGGCUGAGAACCUCAUCUCCUUUGGCGCCGCCUUUGAUACCAAGGGCAUACCCACGGUUACCGGCAUUAAGCGCGUCAUCACAAGCCCGAUUGUCGCUCUUGGGAAAGUCAAAGAUGCACUGGGAAAGCGAUCACCCAUCGACUACAUAAUUAACGACGCUCUACAGUUGGCACGCGACCAAGAGACCUCAUGUUGA